AGAGUUUGAUCCUGGCUCAGAACAAACGCUGGUGGCGUGUAUUAAGCAUGCAAGUCGAGCGGCAAGGCGGGGCGACCCGCCCUAGAGCGGCGGACUGGCGAGUAACGCGUGGGUAAUCUACCUUGGGCAUGGGGAUAGCCAUUAGAAAUAGUGGGUAAUACCGAAUACGCUCGCGGGGGGAAGGGUCCUGUGAGGAAAGGGUGCUACGGCACCGGCCUGAGAUGAGCUCGCGUCCCAUUAGCUAGUUGGUGAGGUAAGGGCCCACCAAGGCGAUGAUGGGUAGCCGGCCUGAGAGGGUGUACGGCCACACUGGGACUGAGAUACGGCCCAGACUCCUACGGGAGGCAGCAGCUAAGAAUAUUCCGCAAUGGACGAAAGUCUGACGGAGCGACGCCGCGUGGAUGAAGAAGGCCGAAAGGUUGUAAAGUUCUUUUGCGAGGGAAGAAUAACCGCAGGAGGGAAUGCCUGUGGGAUGACAUGAACUUGCGAAUAAGCCCCGGCCAACUACGUGCCAGCAGCCGCGGUAACACGUAGGGGGCGAGCGUUGUUCGGAAUUACUGGGCGUAAAGGGCAUGUAGGCGGUCUGGUAAGCCUGGCGUGAAAGACCACAGCUUAACUGUGGGGUUGCGUUGGGAACUGCUGGGCUUGAGUGACGGAGAGGGAGCUGGAAUUCCUGGUGUAGGGGUGAAAUCUGUAGAUAUCAGGAAGAACACCGAUGGCGAAAGCAAGCUCCUGGCCGAUGACUGACGCUGAGGUGCGAAAGUGUGGGGGAUCAAACAGGAUUAGAUACCCUGGUAGUCCACACGGUAAACGAUGUGCACUAUGUGCUGGGGCGGUAGCCUCGGUGCCGGAGCGAACGUGGUAAGUGCACCGCCUGGGGAGUAUGCUCGCAAGGGUGAAACUCAAAGGAAUUGACGG
rnacentral:rRNA from 1 species